rnacentral:rRNA from 1 species
UACGAGUGCCCCGAGCGUUAUCCGGAAUUAUUGGGCGUAAAGGGUGUGUAGGUGGUCAGGUUAGUCUUACGUCAAAGCCCUCGGCUCAACCGAGGAACUGCGUGGGAAACGGCUUGACUCGAGGUUGCGAGGGGUGAAUGGAACUCAUGGUGUAGGGGUGAAAUCCGUUGAUAUCAUGGGGAACACCAAAAGCGAAGGCAAUUCACUGGCGCAAAUCUGACACUGAAACACGAAAGCGUGGGUAGCGAAUGGG